GAUGAAGAACGCAGCAAAAUGCGAUAAGUAAUGUGAAUUGCAGAAUUCAGUGAAUCAUCGAAUCUUUGAACGCACAUUGCGCCCGCCAGUAUUCUGGCGGGCAUGCCUGUUCGAGCGUCAUUUCAACCCUCAAGCUCAGCUUGGUGUUGGGACUCGCGGUAACCCGCGUUUCCCAAAUCGAUUGGCGGUCACGUCGAGCUUCCAUAGCGUAGUAAUCAUACACCUCGUUACUGGUAAUCGUCGCGGCCACGCCGUAAAACCCCAACUUCUGAAUGUUGACCUCGGAUCAGGUAGGAAUACCCGCUGAACUUAAGCAUAUCAAUAAGCGGAGGA
rnacentral:misc_RNA from 1 species